UUGAACCGAAUGGAGAAACUCGCAUAUACGGUUCUUAGGAGAGUAGGGGCCGUUACCGGUCACUACUUAUCCGAU
rnacentral:autocatalytically_spliced_intron from 1 species